AUUGAACGCUGGCGGCAUGCUUUACACAUGCAAGUCGAACGGUAACAGCACUUCGGUGGCUGACGAGUGGCGAACGGGUGAGUAAUACAUCGGAACGUGCCUAGUAGUGGGGGAUAACUACUCGAAAGAGUAGCUAAUACCGCAUGAGAUCUAAGGAUGAAAGCAGGGGACCUUCGGGCCUUGCGCUACUAGAGCGGCUGAUGGCAGAUUAGGUAGUUGGUGGGAUAAAAGCUUACCAAGCCGACGAUCUGUAGCUGGUCUGAGAGGACGACCAGCCACACUGGGACUGAGACACGGCACAGACUCCUACGGGAGGCAGCAGUGGGGAAUUUUGGACAAUGGGCGCAAGCCUGAUCCAGCAAUGCCGCGUGCAGGAUGAAGGCCUUCGGGUUGUAAACUGCUUUUGUACGGAACGAAAAGCCCUCUUCUAAUACAGGAGGGUCAUGACGGUACCGUAAGAAUAAGCACCGGCUAACUACGUG
rnacentral:rRNA from 1 species